AACGAACGCUGGCGGCAGGCCUAACACAUGCAAGUCGAACGCAUCGCAAGAUGAGUGGCGCACGGGUGAGUAACACGUGGGAAUGUACCCUUUGGUUCGGAAUAACGUUUGGAAACGAACGCUAAUACCGGAUGAGCCCUUAGGGGGAAAUAUUUAUCGCCGAAGGAGCAGCCCGCGUCUGAUUAGGUAGUUGGUGGGGUAAAGGCCUACCAAGCCGACGAUCAGUAGCUGGUCUGAGAGGAUGAUCAGCCACACUGGGACUGAGACACGGCCCAGACUCCUACGGGAGGCAGCAGUGGGGAAUAUUGGACAAUGGGCGCAAGCCUGAUCCAGCCAUGCCGCGUGAGUGAUGAAGGCCUUCGGGUUGUAAAGCUCUUUCGCACACGACGAUGAUGACGGUAGUGUGAGAAGAAGCCCCGGCUAACUUCGUGCCAGCCGCCGCAGUAACAC
rnacentral:rRNA from 1 species